GAAUGUCAACUUUAACAACAAAAAAUAUAGGAAGCAACAAUUUCUUGUCCUUAAUAUCUCUUACUAUCAAUGGACUCAACUCCCCAAUAAAAAGACAUAGACUAACGGACUGGCUACACAAACAGGACCCAACAUUCUGCUGCUUACAAGAAACCCAUCUCAGGGAAAAAGACAGACACUACCUUAGAGUGAAAGGCUGCAAAACAAUUUUCCAAGCAAAUGGUCUGAAGAAACAAGCUGCAGUAGCCAUUCUAAUAUCUAAUAAAAUUGACUUCCAACCAAAAGUCAUCAAAAAAGACAAGGAGGGGCACUUCAUACUCAUCAAAGGUAAAAUCAUCCAAGACAAACUCUCAAUUCUGAAUAUCUAUGCUCCAAAUAUAAGGGCAGCCACAUUCAUUAAACAAACUUUAGUAAAGCUCAAAGCACACAUUGCACCUCACACAAUAAAAGUGGGGGACUUCAACACACCACUUUCAUCAAUGGACAGAUCAUGGAAACAGAAACUAAACAGGGACAUAGUGAAACUAACAGAAGUUAUUAAACAAAUGGAUCUAACAGAUAUCUACAGAACAUUUUAUCCAAACACAAAAGGAUAUACCUUCUUCUCAGCACCUCAUGGUACCUUCUCCAAAAAUGACCAUACAAUUGGUCACAAAACAGGUCUCAACAGAUACAAAAAUAUUGAAAUUGUCCCAUGCAUCCUAUCAGAUCACCAUGCAAUAAGGCUGAUCUUCAAUAACAACAUAAAUAAUAGAAAGCCAACAUUCACGUGGAAACUGAACAACACUCUUCUCAAUGACACCUUGGUCAAGGAAGGAAUAAAGAAAGAAAUUAAGGACUUCUUAGAGUUUAAUGAAAAUGAAGUCACAACAUACCCAAACUUAUGGGACACAAUGAAAGCAUUUCUAAGAGGAAAACUCAUAGCUCUGAGUGCCUCCCAAAAGAAACUAGAGAGAGCACACACUAGUAGCUUGACAACACACCUAAAAGCUCUAGAACAAAAGGAAGCAAAUUCACCCAAGAGGAGUAGACGGCAGGAAAUAAUCAAACUCAGGGGCGAAAUCAACCAAGUGGAAACAAGAAGAACUAUUCAAUGAAUCAACCAAUCAAGGAGCUGGUUCUUUGAGAAAUACAACAAGAUCGAUAAACCCUUAGCCAUACUCACUAGAGGGCACAGGGAAAGCAUCCUAAUUAACAAAAUCAGAAAUGAAAAGGGAGACAUAACAACAGAUCCUGAAGAAAUCCAAAACACUAUCAGAUCCUCUGAGAAAAGGCUAUACUCAACAAAACUGGAGAACCUGGAUGAAAUGGACAAAUUUCUAGACAGAUACCAGGUACCAAAGUUAAAUCAGGAUCAGGUUAAUGAUCUAAACAGUCCUAUAUCCCCUAAAGAAAUAGAAGCAGUCAUUAAUAGUCUCCCAACCAAAAUAAGCCCAGGACCAUGCAGGUUUAGUGCAGAGUUCUAUCAGACCUUCAAAGAAGAUCUAAUUCCAGUUCUUCACAAACUAUUCCACAAAAUAGAAGCAGAAUGUACUCUACCCAAUUCAUUCUAUGAAUCCACAAUUACUCUGAUACCUAAACCACAGAAAGACCCAACAAAGAUAGAGAACUUCAGACCAAUUUCCCUAAUGAAUAUCGAUGCAAAAAAUACAUAAUAAAAUUCUCACUAACCGAAUCUAAGAACACAUCAAAACAAUCAUCCAUCCUGACCAACUAGGUUUCAUUCCAGGGAUGGAGGGGUGGUUUAAUAUAUAGAAAUCCAUCAACGUAAUCCAUUAUAUGAACAUACUCAAAGACAAAAACAACAUGAUCAUCUCAUUAGAUGCUGAGAAAGCAAUUGACAAAAUCCAACCCCCAUUCAUGAUAAAAGUCUUGGAAAGAUCAGGAAUUCAAGUCCCAUACCUAAACAUGAUAAAAAGCAAUCUACAGCAAACCAGUAGCCAACAUCAAAGUAAAUGGUGAGAAGCUGGAAGCAAUUCCAGCAACUAGACAAGGCUGCCCACUUUCUGCCUACCUAUUCAACAUUGUACUUGAAGUCCUAGCCAGAGCAAUUAGACAACAAAAGGAGAUCAAGGGGAUACAAAUUGGAAAGGAAGAAGUCAAAAUAUCACUUAUUGCAGAUGAUAUGAUAGUGUAUAUAAGUGACCCUAAAAAUUCCACCAGAAAACUCCUAAACCUGAUAAACAGUUUCAAUUAAGUAUCUGGAUAUAAAAUUAACUCAAACAAGUCAAUGGCCUUUCACUACACAAAGGAUAAACAGGCUGAGAAAGAAAUUAGGGCAACAACACCCUUCUCUAUGGUCACAGAUAAUAUAAAAUACCUUGGCAUGACUCUACCUAAGGAAGUGAAAGAUCUGUAUGAUAAGAACUUCAAGUCUCUAAAGAAAGAAAUUAAAGAAGAUCUCAGAAGAUGGAAAGAUCUCCCAAGCUCAUGGAUUGGCAGGAUCAAUAUAGUAAAAAUGGUGAUCUUGCCAAAAGCAAUCUACAGUAUCAAUGCAAUCCCCAUCAAAAUUCCAACUCAAUUCUUCAACAAAUUGGAAAGGGCAAUCUUCAAAUUCACCUGGAAUAACUAAAAACCCAGGAUAGCAAAAACUCUUCUCAAGGAUAAAAGAACCUCUGGUGGAACCACCAUGCCUGACCUAAAGCUGUACUACAGAGCAAUUGUGAUAAAACUGCAUGGUACUGGUAUAGCAACAGACAAGUAAACCAGGAGAAUAGAAUUGAAGACCCAGAAAUUAACCCACACACCUAUGACCAUAUGAUCUUUGACAAGGGAGCUAAUACCACACAGUGCAAAAAAGACAGCAUUGUCAACAAAUGGAGCUGGCACAACUGGAGGUUAAAAUGUAGAAGAAUGCGAAUUGAUCCAUUCCUAUCUCCUUGAACUAAGGUCAAAUCUAAGUGGAUUAAAGAACUCCACAUAAAAACACAGACAUUUAAACUUAUAGAGGAGAAAGUGGGGAAAAGCCUCGAAGAUAUGGGCACAGGGGAAAAAUUCGUGAAUAGAACUGCAAUAGCUUGUGCUGUAAGAUCUAGAAUUGACAAAUGGGACCUCAUAAAAUUGCAAAGCUUCUGUAAGGCAAAACACACCAUCAAUAAGACAGAAAGGCCACCAACAGAUUGGGAAAUGAUCUUUAUCUAUCCUAAAUCAGAUAGGGAACUAUUAUCCAAUAUAAAUAAAGAACUCAAGAAGGUGGACUCCAAAAAAUCAAAUAACCCCAUUAAUAAAUGGGGCUCAGAGCUAAACAAAGAAUUCUCACCUGAGGAAUACUAAAUGGCUGAGAAGCACCUGAAAAAAUGUUCAACAUCCUUAAUCAUCAGGGAAAUGCAAAUUAAAACAACCCUGAGAUUCCACCUCAUAACAGUCAGAAUGGCUAAGAUCAAAAAUUCAGGUGACAGCAGAUGCUGGCGUGGAGGUGGAGAAAGAGGAACACUCCUCCAUUGUUGGUGGGAUUGCAAGCUUGUACAACUACUCUUGAAAUCAUCUGGCGGUUCCCCCCAAAAUUGGACAUAGUACUACUGGAGGAUCCCACAAUACCUCUCCUGGGCAUAUAUCCAGAAGAUGUUCCAACCAGUAAGAAGGACACAUGCUCCAGUAUGUUCACAGCAGCCUUAUUUAUAAUAGCCAGAUGCUGGAAAGAACCCAGAUGCCCCUCAACAGAGCAACGGAUACAGAAAAUGUGGUACAUUUACACAAUGGAGUACUACUUAGCUAUUAAAAAGAAUGAAUUUAUGAAAUUCCUAGGCAAAUGGAUGGACCUGGAGGGCAUCAUCCUGAGUGAGGUAACUCAAUCACAAAAGAACUCACAUGAUAUGUACUCAUUGAUAAGUGGAUAUUAA
rnacentral:lncRNA from 1 species